GUCAAUGAGUUGCCAGUCUGCACCCAGUUCCAGCGAUGGGUCCCCCGUAAUCUCUUUCUGACUAGUUGACCAACCCGUUUAUCAUCCCUAGUAUGAGAACUGAAGCUGCUGCUGUGGCCACUGUUUCUGUCACUGGAUGAGUGUGCUCUGGAAAGGCCUCAACUCCAGCGUCACAGACCUUUCAUGUGGACCUCCUAAGUUUUCUUAGGCCAGAAAAAUGUCUCACCCUGACCUUGUGUUCACUCUGCUGCUCCAAAAUUUUAUUUGAGGCAUUAUUUUAAAGUUGUUGAGGGGAAUGUUAAUAGAGUUCAGCCGGGUUGCUGCCUCUAAUCUACCAUCUUGGUUCCACCCCCACCUCCAAGUGUUUUAUUUUAUAAAUAUUGUCUCAGUUGAUCUUCACAGCUCUGCAAGGACCUAAACAGGGUGAAAAGAAGACUGCAGACCAGGAAAAGCCAACCUGAACACACACCGGAUUUCUAG
rnacentral:lncRNA from 1 species